GAUGAACGCUGGCGGCGUGCCUAACACAUGCAAGUCGAGCGAUUCUCUUCGGAGAAGAGCGGCGGACGGGUGAGUAACGCGUGGGUAACCUGCCCUGUACACACGGAUAACAUACCGAAAGGUAUGCUAAUACGAGAUAAUAUACUUUUAUCGCAUGGUAGAAGUAUCAAAGCUUUUGCGGUACAGGAUUGACCAGCGUCUGGUUAGCUAGUUGGUAAGGUAACGGCUUACCGAGGCGACGCGCAGUAGCCGACCUGAGAGGGUGAUCGGCCACAUUGGAACUGAGACAAGGUCCAAACUCCUACGGGAGGCAGCAGUGGGGAAUAUUGCACAAUGGGCGAAAGCCUGAUGCAGCAACGCCGCGUGAGCGAUGAAGGCCUUCGGGUCGUAAAGCUCUGUCCUCAAGGAAGAUAAUGACGGUACUUGAGGAGGAAGCCCCGGCUAACUACGUGCCAGCAGCCGCCGUAAGAC
rnacentral:rRNA from 1 species